rnacentral:misc_RNA from 1 species
GUGAAUCAUCGAAUUUUUGAACGCAAAUUGCACUCUCUUCGGAGAGUAUGCCUGUUUGAGGGUCAGCCUAAAAAAAAAAUCGACAUAGUCACUGUUUCGCGGGGACAUUCGUCGGAAAUUGGGUAAUCUUAAAACUUUGGGUUUUAAGAGGCUUAAAAUUUUCUGUACGAUUCCACGAACGUUUCUAAGAUUUACUUCUUACGUUGAAGGUAUCGAUUUUUAUUAGACGUGUCCGUGGCAUCGGAUUA